AAUAAAUUUAUUUUCUUUAUAAAUUAUCCAGUCUCAGGUAUUCAGUUAUAGCAACAGAAAAUGAACUAGGACAUAAUCUUAGCAUUCAUCUUUGUUUCUGCUUCCCCUGUGAGUGACUGACCAUGUUCUCAUUUGAGGUUUACAUUAAUGCGGUUGGAUCCCCUUUUCCCAUCAUGACACUGAGGCUCAGAGACUUGCCCAAGACCACAGGGCUAUGCAGGUUCUGUUACCAUCAAAUACACACACACACACACACACACACACACACGUAUUUACAAGUAUAUAUACAGCAUGGAUACAAUAUAACAUAAAAAGGUCUCUGUACUUAGCCCUUUCCUUGCACUAUCAGGAUGAUAUAAUUCCUGAAGCCCUUCCAAACGCAGCCCUCCUUCAUCUUUUCAGAGAGAUACUGAGUUUGGAGAGUUGUUAUCUAGGAUUGAAUGUGAAAACUACUGGAAAUGAUGGAAAUGCAGAAUAUUUCCCUCAUUUCACAAACUUGGGUUGUGUUUUGAUAGGAAAAGCAAUACUUCUGCCUGUUGUGUUUACUGAGAUGUUCCCAGGUCCUUGGACACUGGAGCAAGGCUCACAUAUCUGCUGAAUGAACUUAGCUCCUACGUUCCAAGCCUUUCUGCCCGUGAGUGUGAUGAGGAAGCAGUUCCCCAAGAGUCACCUUCAGGCCUUUGCAGCUGACGCGUGAUUCAGGUUCUUGGCAGCCGUUUCAUCCACGCAUCAGAAGAAUGAGCAAGGAAUGUGAGAAAUGGGCAGAAAGCCAUCAUCCUUAGCUAACCACCUCUGCAGGACACCCAAACCUAAGAUCUCUGUGAACGUCAAAAGGCAAUAGUGUUGUAUUUCAGCUGAUAAGAGAGUCCCUGAGUGAAGACUGAUGGAUGCAUUGAGAAGUUUGUGCCAGGCGCUGACUCUGGCACAGGUGCCAUUGCUAUGGUUCACACACUGAGUGCUCAAAACCACAAACAGACAACUAAAACCACGCAGCCUUCCUCCUCGUCUCUGUGAAGGCCAAAGCCAGUCAUUUUCUUGGCAAUCCACUUUGAAGUUUUAUUUGCCCUUCAUGUUCUGGUAAAAAUCUCACCAAAGGAUUGUUUUCAAUCUAAGUAAAUAACUCGUUAGAGCACACUUUCAAA